GGAGUUAGCCGGUGCUUCUUCUGCGAGUAACGUCACAGAUGUAAGGUAUUAACUUACACCCUUUCCUCCUCGCUGAAAGUGCUUUACAACCCGAAGGCCUUCUUCACACACGCGGCAUGGCUGCAUCAGGGUUUCCCCCAUUGUGCAAUAUUCCCCACUGCUGCCUCCCGUAGGAGUCUGGGCCGUGUCUCAGUCCCAGUGUGGCUGAUCAUCCUCUCAGACCAGCUAGGGAUCGUCGCCUAGGUGAGCCUUUACCUCACCUACUAGCUAAUCCCACCUGGGCUUAUCCAUCAGCGCAAGGCCCGAAGGUCCCCUGCUUUCCCCCGUAGGGCGUAUGCGGUAUUAGCAGUCGUUUCCAACUGUUAUCCCCCACAAAUGGGCAAAUUCACAGGCAUUACUCACCCGUCCGCCGCUCGUCAUCUUCAAAAGCAAGCUUUUGAAAUGUUACCGCUCGACUUGCAUGUGUUAGGCCUGCCGCCAGCGUUCAAUCUGAGCCAGGAUCAAACUCUGA
rnacentral:rRNA from 1 species